GGCUUCGAAGCAGGGACGCCAGUUCCUGUGGAGCCAUCCUUGAGAUACCACCCUUGUUCUGCUUGAUGUCUAACCGCGGUCCGUCAUCCGGAUCCGGGACCCUGCGUGGCGGGUAGUUUGACUGGGGCGGUCGCCUCCCAAACAGUAACGGAGGCGCGCGAAGGUUGGCUCAGAGCGGUCGGAAAUCGCUCGUUGAGUGCAAUGGCAAAAGCCAGCCUGACUGCGAGACUGACAAGUCGAGCAGAGACGAAAGUCGGCCAUAGUGAUCCGGUGGUCCCGAGUGGAAGGGCCAUCGCUCAACGGAUAAAAGGUACGCCGGGGAUAACAGGCUGAUACUGCCCAAGAGUCCAUAUCGACGGCAGUGUUUGGCACCUCGAUGUCGGCUCAUCUCAUCCUGGGGCUGGAGCAGGUCCCAAGGGUACGGCUGUUCGCCGUUUAAAGAGGUACGUGAGCUGGGUUUAGAACGUCGUGAGACAGUUCGGUCCCUAUCUGCCGUGGGUGUAGGAUACUUGAGAGGAGUUGCCCCUAGUACGAGAGGACCGGGGUGAACGAUCCACUGGUGGACCUGUUGUCGUGCCAACGGCAGUGCAGGGUAGCUAUGAUCGGACAGGAUAACCGCUGAAGGCAUCUAAGCGGGAAGCCCCCCUCAAAACAAGGUAUCCCCGAGGGCCGUGGAAGACCACCACGUCGAUAGGCCGGAGAUGUAAGCGCAGCAAUGCGUUCAGUUGACCGGUACUAAUUGCCCGAUAGGCUUGAUUUG
rnacentral:rRNA from 1 species